rnacentral:tRNA from 1 species
GCAUUGGUGGUUCUGUGGUAGAAUUCUCACCUUCCACGUUAGAGACCUGGGUUUGACUUCUGGCCGAUAUA